rnacentral:sRNA from 1 species
UUUUAGCCCCGAUAGUCCCGAAGCUUCGGGAGGCAUCCUUUUCUUGCUUUUUUUGAGCAAGAAAAGAUAAAGUGGAUAGCGGGAUUAAGC